GUACAUAUGCAAGGAUAGUAUAACCAUCCCUCUCUCUCUCUAGUAAGAUGGUGAACAACAGGGCUUUAGUUCUUACCACUUAUUGUUGCUCCCUCUUCAUUUGGUUCCUCUUCAUUUCGAGUGCUAUGGCUGCAAGACAAUUAUCCACUGUUUCUCAAACCGCAGCAUUCCAUUCAAACAAUUGUCCUGUGAUCAACCCCGAACCAAGUAAGCCACCUACAGCCCCUGGCUGCAGAGCAAAAUCUGAAACAAACCCCUAAAAAGAGAGAAGAGAAGAGAAGUGAAGCAAACCAUGUCAUAUUACUUCCAAGGGAAUUAGAAAGGACCUUAAAUUUGCUAUCCCUUACUUUUUUGUUAACUUUUUUUCUUUUUUCAGUUCUUAUAAUAAGGAAGAGUCCCGGUGUGGUUUCUUAUAUGUCUAUAUUGCCAAAAUUAUAUUGCCCUUUGAGCUUUGUGUAAGUGUGUUUGGAUUCUCAAGUCACUAUUUCACAAUAAAUAGAAUUUAUAUUAAUACAAUGUUUCUGUAUUUUUUA